CCUGCUAAAUAGUUGCGCGAAACUUUAUGUUUCGUCGCUACUUCUUAGAGGGACUUUGUGUGUUUAACACAAGGAAGCUUGAGGCAAUAACAGGUCUGUGAUGCCUUAGAUGUUCUGGGCUGCACGCGCGCUACACUGACACGAUCAACAAGUAUUUCCUUGCCCGGUAGGGUUAGGGUAAUCUUUUGAAAUCGUGUCGUGCUAGGGAUAGACGAUUGCAAUUAUUCGUCUUCAACGAGGAAUUCCUAGUAAAUGCAAGUCAUCAGCUUGCGUUGAUUACGUCCCUGCCCUUUGUACACACCGCCCGUCGCUCCUACCGAUUGAGUGAUCCGGUGAGCUGUCCGGACUGCGAUUAGUUCAGUUUCUGUUCUCUUCGCGGGAAGUUCUGCAAACCUUAUCACUUAGAGGAAGGAGAAGUCGUAACAAGGUUUCCGUAGGUGAACCUGCGGAAGGAUCAUUC
rnacentral:ncRNA from 1 species